UACGUAGGGAGCAAGCGUUGUCCGGAAUCAUUGGGCGUAAAGCGCGCGUAGGUGGCCCCAUAAGUCCGCUGUGAAAGUCAAAGGCUCAACCUUUGAAAGCCGGUGGAUACUGUGGGACUAGAGUACGGAAGAGGCGAGUGGAAUUCCUGGUGUAGCGGUGGAAUGCGCAGAUAUCAGGAGGAACACCGAUGGCGAAGGCAGGUCUCUGGGCCGAUACUGACGCUGAGGAGCGAAAGCGUGGGGAGCGAACAGG
rnacentral:rRNA from 1 species